GCGGCUGUUGGCAUUUCUGCCUGAGUCUAGAGAGAUCUGACGCCGUUUCUCCGCUAGUAGUUGACAUUUUGCGCCGACACUUUGGCCUCCCUCAGGUCCCCCUCAUCCCACCUCCCUUGCAAUAGACCACAGCAGCAGUUAAAUUAAGGCCCAAGAGGCAGACAUCCUGCAGCAGACUGAAAAGGCAGAAAACCAGUUGCAUGAAUGAAAUGAGAACAUGAAGACUGCUCCCUAAAAAAAAAUUGAAAGUUCUCAGCUGACCGUGUGUCAGGCAAUGACAGAAAUGUCAAGAUGAGGGUGAGGCAGAGGACAAGGACGCAGGAAAGGUGGUCCUGCCUGCAUCUACAGUCUGAUCAUCAGUCUUCAGCCCUAUCUGUGCUGCCAGUGUGGACAUUGAUGCAAAGACUUCAGGCUCAGAAGAUGACAGACUGUCUAUCCAGCCAUCACACCAAGAGCUGAAGGGGUGAAAGCAGAGGCCACUUGUGGACCAGCCUAUAAAGACAUCGCAUUGGGAAGAAGUUGGAGCAUCUGCAGAGAACCCACCCAGGUCCAGAGAGAACAUGAACUCCACACAGACAGAACCAGCAGGUUGGUGCUGUUGGCUGGUUGGUGCUGUUAGCUGACUGUGCUAAUCGCUGCAUCUGUGUCCAUUUUUUUUCUUAUAGGACGAAGAAACAGUGAGAGGAACCCCAGGAUGAUCAAAAAUGGAAGAAUUAUGCCAAGAUGAGACGACAAAAAGCCCCAAACAGAAAAAGAAGAGUCAGACCAAAGAAAAGAAAGAAGAACGGCUUUGACUAAUUCCAAAGCACAAACAGCUGGUGGAGAGGCUCUGUUACCUGUCUGUCCUGUGUCUGCUGUCCUGUUCUGCUGUUCUGCUGUCCUGAAGGAAUGUGAGAGCAUUCUUUAGCUCCACAGUGCUCCAGUAGAUAGUAGAGCCUCCUAUUUACAGAUGUAUCUCCACAGAUAGGAGCUGGAUGCAGCUGAAGCAUCUCAUAGUUAUUUGCAGGACAAAUAGGACUUUAAUACAUUGGAUUUGUAUUGCUUUGAUACAUGAAUAAGACAGGUGUGCUUACGAUCAGUCUGCCAAGCAACAGUGACAAGCAACAUUCAAACAUAAACACUAAGGCAUUGAAGAUUAUAAAAAUAAAUUCAAGAUUGUCCCAGAAGCACUUUGUUCAGUACCAUGAUAGAACUAUGUUCUUGUUUCGUACUGGUAAAAUGUUGUUAAGGUCUUGU
ensembl:lncRNA